UUGCAUUUCAUUUGGUGAGUCACCAAAUUUCCCAUUUUUCCUCCCUUCCAUUCAUUUCCCCUCUCUGUCAUAUCUCUUUCCCAAUUUCAUGCUCCUCCAUGUAUUCUUUAUCUCUCUCCUCUUUCAUGGUUUAGGUUGGCUUGCCAAUUUGCCAUGCCCCAGCUUCAUUCAUUUUUCCUCCAACAAUUGGCGGUAGCUUCAGGCCGGAGUUCUCACGGCGGUGGUAGGUUCGAUGGUUGUGGUGGUCCAACUUCCAUACACAAACUGUUACAGAGUUUUUUUUAAAAAAAACACAUAUUCAUCCCCACCAAAACAAAGCUGUUAAAAAGCAGAAUUUGUCUUCAUUUUGAAGCGCGUAGAAAUAACAGGAGUUCAUCAGUGCGAGAUCCACUCAAACUUACUGUCAUCUCUUUCUCGAUCUCUCUGCUUUUUCUAGGAAUCACAAUGUGAACAUCAAUGUAUCAAUUCAAACUGAGGAAUGUUUAAAUGUUCCAAUUGUCCGGGUAUAUGAUGCCUCAGUCUCACUCCUGCAAGUGCAGCAACAGGACAAGUAGUGGGAAUUGUUGUUUCACCUGGUGCGGCCACCACAUUGGAGCUGAGGAAUCCUGGGGUCAGUGUGAAAGGGAGUUCCCCUGACCCCAGGGAGUAAUCAACCCGUUGGAGUGAGCAUAUCAGAGCAGAUGCUUUGGGUCAAGAGUUAUCAUUUAUGCGCACUGUAACAUAUAUGUUGUUCUUAUUUUCUGGGUACAGAAUGAGAGGGAAUUGAAGCGGGAGAGGAGGAAACAAUCCAAUCAAGAAUCUGCAAGAAGAUCAAGGUUGAGGAAACAGACUGAGACUGAGGAACUUGCCAGAAGAGUUGAAUCCCUCAAUGCUGAAAACUUGGCUCUUAAGUCAGAAAUCAACCAACUGGUGGAGAACUCUCAGAAACUCCGUCUUGAAAAUGUUGCAUUAACGGAUUUGGGUUGCUGAUUUUGUGGCUCAAGAUAAUUACGUGCAAUUGGAUCAAUCAAACCUGUGUUGAUUUUAUAGGAUGAAACUUCUGAAGAGAUUGGAGAGAAGCUAUAAUCUACUGGGAGUAAACAUGACCUUUUUCUCUAUGGAUACGCUGUUAGUUUUUUGCAUUACAAUUGCUCUCAAAGGACUCCGGAUGUUGCUGAUAUGGACCUGAUAACUGAGAUUGUCUGUAGCCUCACUCAGCAGACAACCAUGCUUUAGCAAGACUGCAAGAGAGUGUGAAGAUCUCAAACUUGACAUAUUGUAUAUUGGUUCUUGUGCUGGUGGAGAGACGAUAUUUUCUGGAUGCAGCCAGAGUCUUUAUUGCCUCUGGUUCUUCAUUUUCCAGUUAGUCGAAUUCACCAUCACCUUAAGUCAAGAGCCUCAGCCAAUGGUCGUGUAGGUGCAACUGCUGCUGUCGACUCUGCAGCGAUACUUGAGUACCUAACUGCAUAAGUUCUCAAGCUAGCAGGAAAUGCAAGCAAAUAUUUAAAAGUGAAGAGGAUGACUCCAAGGCAUCUGCAACUUGCUAUUCGAGGGGAUGAGGAGCUCGAUACCCUCAUCAAGGGGACCAUUGCUGGUGGCGGUGUUAUCCCUCACAUUCACAAGUCAUUGAUUAACAAAUCAUCUAAGAUUUAAGGGUUCUUUAUUUGAUAAUUUAGGAUGUAGAAUAAAGUAUAUGUGGGAUUGUUCCAUAAUAAGCAAUUUCAGCUGUAAUAUCUUUCUGCCGAAUCUCUAGGAUUUCUAAGUGUGAUAUUUUAUCAGCUAUUUAGGUUUAGGUGCUUGUCAAUUUACUUCAUUCUGGUCUCUCUGUGCAGAUCUAACUAAAUUUGUCUUGUAACAUGUGUUUGUUUGAUGACUUAAUUAAGUUUAUUGCUUGAUUAAACCAGUGAAAUUUCAAUUGCAAAUUGAGCAUGGAUUAUUUCGUUUCG